GCACGCAACAAAUAUAUAUGGAAUUAUUAUUCUAGGAAAGCAGAUGGUGCUUAACAGUCCAUAUUUUCCACAAACAUGCAGUUCAAAAGUUUACAAAACCAUUAUUUAUAUGUGGAAACACAAUUUUACAUUGCAAAUCUCUGUAUGACCUAGUAAAUUGUCUGCAAAUAUAAUCUUAGUAUUAGCAAAAAUUUAUGAUCCACAAAGUUUGCAGUGUUAUAGCACUUUAAAACAAACACAGUAAUAUAUAUAUAUAUGUAUAUAUAAAUCUAUAUAAUUAUAUAUAGCUACAUCAUUUCUAGAAAAAAAACUGGAAGUUAUUAUAAUAACUUUUCAGGCUCUUCUAGUAAUGACUGGAAUGAAAUGGAUUCAAAACACAAAUUCCAAUAAUUCAGUGCAAGUGCUGCAUAUGUUUAAGUUGUUAAAUAUCAUCAACAGCCAGAAAUAAUAAUACAUAAGACUGUUUGAAGGAUGUAACUAUAAAGCACUGAGUCAUCAGGAUUACUGAAAUACAUCUUCUAUUAAGAAUUGCAGCCUCCUGCAAAGAGCUCUGUGGUUUCCGAUCAUGUUUUAUUCUCUUAAAAUUUUUUUUUUUGGUAUAAUAGAAAAUUUCAUUACACAGCUGCACCUAUAACAUCUUGGAAGAUAUUUUUUUUAACAUAGCCUCGGAAGAACACUGCAUCCUUAAAAACAGAAUGUUUACGUAUCUUCACUUGCCACCAAGACUAACCCUUGGUAGUUCUGAAAAGCGCUAGAACACUAAGGAUUCAAACUUCAUGUAUUAUUUUACAGUAUGUUCAACUUCAUCUGCCAAUGAAAGGGUUAAAAUGAUGUGUGUCUUCAAGAAAGAUAUGGUUUUACAGCACAGAAAUCACAAAAUAGAAAAAAAAAUACUGUAGGGCUUUUGUAAAAAAGGUGGCUCAAAUGCCACAAAUUUGUCUGUAGUUCUUGAGUUGUGUUAAUAAAUUGACCUUGUUUCAUUGUGUCUCUUAACCAUAUAUAUAUAUAUAUAAAGAUAUACAUAUGAUUUAUUUGGCAAUCCUAUACCAUGUUCACAUGUUACUAGUUUAGCAGCUACUGUACCUCUGUUGUCUUUUUGCCAUCGUAACUAUAUUUAACAUAUUAUUGCAUUUUUUUUCACAUGUUAGAGUGAAUUUUAAAAAAACCAAGCAUGCAGUCACAUCAAUGAAGACAUACUUCUUUGAAAUGUAAUACUGUAUAUGAUUUAUUAUGUCAACACUCAACCAUAUCAUAUUAUGUAUACUUGGUAUAUUCUGAAAAACGUGUUGCUCUAUAGGCAUCACUAUUUUUUUCUGAAAUAUUACAGAAUAAACAACUUGAAAGUCUUCCACAGUUAUUAUUAAAGAAACUAUCAUUAGUAUUAUAUAUAUAUGUGCUAAGACGGAGUCUUGAUAUCUUUUUUUCGAUGUUCUGGAUCCACAUAUUCUAAAAUUAAAAACAGACAUAAUCUCAGCUUCAUAGGCUGUCAUGUGUUUAAACAUCUCUAAUCUGGCAUUCUCCUAUUCAAAUAUCCAAUACCCGGGAGAUUGAGGCAAAAGUGUGAUUUAACAAAUUUCUCAUUUCCUGGCAUGGGAAUCAAGACAAGAAAUGGAAUCUAAUAUUUAUUAUAGUCUGCAGAAAAAGAGAAUUUCCAGAAUCUCCAGUCUAUGAAUAGCUGAGGAAAUUGCGAUCAAUACACUCCACAGAAAUGUUUAAUGCUUUAUAUAUGGAGAAAUCAGUUUUUAUUUGCUAAGCAGUGAGAUUCAGUGACAUGCGAAUCAAAAUUUAGACUAAAAUAAUCAAUGUGAAAAAAAUAAAUCAGUUGAUGUAACAAUAUCAUACAGUUUAUUCCAGUCUAAAUUUUGACAGUUGGUUCUCAGGUCAAUACAAAUCACUGUUAAGUAAAUAAUACCAAUUUGACACUGUAACUUGUGCCGUGAAGUUAAGAGUAUCAGAAAUUCAGUUUUAUUUACCAUGACAUAGUUUAAACCUCACAAAAUGCAUAGACAGAAAUUUAAUAUAAAGAAUUAGUUCGUUUAUACAUAAAACAUGUAUCCUUUGUUGUAAUGCUUUUUUUUUUUUUUACUUUUUCAUCAGUUUUUGGCAAAUCAAUAAUGAUAAACAAUAAUUAAAACUGUCAAAAUAAAAGUUUAAAUCUAAGCAAUAUAACAAUCAUCUAGAGCAUUACUCAAAUGUGGUUGAAAUUGAAAACCUGAGGCUUUGCACUGGUUGUUAGCGUAAAGUAUCUUUCCUUUAACAUUGUGCUUCCAUUGUAGAACAGAUAAAAAAUAGGAUGAACUAGAAAAAGGUUUUGUUUUUUUUUUCUGAACAGUGCUAGGACAUACAGACAGAAAAUCAAACACAGUAUCUACACAUAAUCCCGGAUUAGUAUGUAUCUAAAAAGAUUUAGGGGCAUUAGAAAAUGGGUACAUGUGACUUGUUUACAUCCAAAAAGUUAAAUAUGUAUCAAAUAAUAUUCAAGUUGAUUUAACAAAUGUACUAUAUACAAGAUGCUCCUGAAAUGCCCGAAUACUAUUUAAUUAAGAAAUAAAAAUAAAAACUACAAGUCUAAGAAACAAAACAAAAAUAGAAAUUAACAACAAUAAACCCACUUAGGUAAAAUAAAAAAUAAAUAUGGACACUGGUACCAGAUAAAUAAGAUUACAGUCCACUAAGUAAAAGAAAAUGGUUAAAUAAAUGAUUUAUUUAAACUACAACAUACAAGAGGAAGAACCAAUUCAUUAAACUGAACCUGGGCUUUAAUGUAAUUCAUCUAAUAUCCUUUUCUUUUAACCUAUUUUUGAUAUUUGACUACUAGGAAUGUUAUACAUGGCUCAGCCCCAUUGACAGAAAAAAAGACUUAAAUGCUAUGUUUAAAAUGUUAACCAUUUGAAUGCAAGAUCCACGGGGCCAUAUUUUGCACAUCGCUCUGGCAGCCAAACGGUUAAAAAAUAAAUGAAGAACCUAUGCCACAUUUUAUUCAUCUACUAAAUUUAGUCCCUCUCGAGUGGUGUGCAUUUAACAACCAAAUAGACAGUACAAAGUAUAAAAACAUUGCUUGAAAAUGAAAUGUCAAACUCAAUAAAAAUAUUGUCAAGCGUUUAAUAAAUUCUAUACCUAAUUGUAUUGACUUUAUGACUCACCGCAUACAUGCAUACAUGUGAAUACAUAUGCAUAUACAUAGGUGGUUAUUUAUAUAUGUAGGUGUGCUGGAGAUUAAAUAGAGAUUAAAGGGCAAUCUGGAAGUAUAUUGUGUAAACAUAAAAAUAAAAAAUAAAAUGGUAUUUUGAAGUGAUAAAUCUUGUUAAGGCUGUAUAUUCAAGCACUGUAUGACUGAAUGUUAACGGAAGGAAGGGCAUGAUUUUUAAGCAAUAUGAAAAGUCCCAUGUUAUGAUUUGCAAUUAAAGUAUGGUGCUGUCAACAGCUGAAUGUUGGCACAAGCUGGCUAUUGAUAGUAGAAGUUAAUAAAAUAUAGCGGAAGAUGGUAAAAAAUGAAUUCUGAAAGAUGAUAGCCAGUAUUCCCCAGCAUUCAGCCUGAUAAGUAAAACUCAGAGUAACCAGGUUUGCAUUUAAAUGAAAUAUUCUUUCUUCUCCUCCGCGUUAACUUGGCUGCCUUCUGCAUUGAUAAUGGCUGUAUCUGCAUCAGGGGCAUCUUCCGCUCCUUUAGCUUCAUUUGUUAAAUAUGUCCCUACAGAGAUCAAGAUUAUAGAAAUGGUUGUUAGAAAUUUUACUUGUUGUCACCUGUCUCUUGUUUCAUUUAGAG
rnacentral:lncRNA from 1 species